rnacentral:misc_RNA from 1 species
GUGCUCAUAAUGGUACAAGUUACAUUUUUAAUCCAUUUUAAUAAUAGCAAUAAAAUUAAUAUCUUUUCCCUGAAAUUAUGAAUGUGCAAAUUUAAACUUAACCUAGUUUUUUAUAAAAUUUAUUUUUUUGUGUCAUAUAGUUCAGGGAUCUGAACUGAAGGCAUGCUGCUAAUAGCAGUAACACUUUCUCAACCAAGAAAGGCCAAAAAAAAAAAAUUAUUUUGUGCUAUUUGAUUUGUAUUUACAAAGCUUUAGAAUCUAGGAUACUUUGUUAGCUUUAUUACUUAAAGUUUUUGAAGUAUCCUAGGCUUUAAAGCUAUGUAAAUAUAUACAAAAUUUUUUCUUAUGUAUAUUUAUAUUACCUUAUAUUUGUUUAGACAUAAUGUUUGCUACUACAUUAUUAAAGAAAGCACAAACGUUACAUAAUUCUAAAGAUACAAUACAUAGUUCUGCUUCAUCAAUAAAGAAUAGUAAAUCCAGUUGUUCAAAUGUAACAAGUACUAUAGUUCCUGACAAUACUGAUAAUACUGAAAAUAUAGUUCACAACGAUACUUCUUCUAGCACUGAAAACAUUUCAGAUACGCUAAAUACUGAAGUAAAUAUAGAAAAAUGGGAACAUAAAGCUGUACUUCUUUUAAUAUCUUUAUAUAAAGAAAAAUCAUAUAUGCUGGGAAAAGGUUCUCAUAAAAAAAUGUGGAUAGACAUUUCCAAGUGUAUGAAGGAAAAAAAAUAUAAUUUUACAGGCAACCAAUGCAAUAAUAAAAUGGAUGCAUUGAAGAGACGAUAUCGUCAAAUUGUUGACCAUAAUGCUCAAAGUGGAAACGAUAGAAAAGAUUGGAUAUAUUUAGAUGUAUUAGAUAAUAUUUUUCGAAAAAACAUUGGAUAAAACCAUUAUCUGUAGCAGGAUCAAAUAUUAAAGAACCUGAACAUUCUCCAUUAACUGACAACAGUGAUGAGAAUGAAACACCAGUUAAGCAAAGAAAAAUCUCAUUAACUGAAGCAAGAGCAAAUUAUUUGACACUUUCAUUAGAAGAAAAAAGACUAAAAAGAAAAGAAACUGCCAAUUAUAGAGCUACAAAGUUACAAAUAUUAAGAGAAAUAAAAGAAGCAUUAGGGAAACAGAAACAAUAGUAAUAUGCAUAUAUGAAGAGAAAAUGUAAAAAGAGAAAAAAAAACAUGCAUUUGCAAGAAUU